GAUGAACGCUGGCGGCGUGCCUAAUACAUGCAAGUCGAGCGAACAGACGAGGAGCUUGCUCCUCUGACGUUAGCGGCGGACGGGUGAGUAACACGUGGAUAACCUACCUAUAAGACUGGGAUAACUUCGGGAAACCGGAGCUAAUACCGGAUAAUAUAUUGAACCGCAUGGUUCAAUAGUGAAAGACGGUUUUGCUGUCACUUAUAGAUGGAUCCGCGCCGCAUUAGCUAGUUGGUAAGGUAACGGCUUACCUAGGCGACGAUGCGUAGCCGACCUGAGAGGGUGAUCGGCCACACUGGAACUGAGACACGGUCCAGACUCCUACGGGAGGCAGCAGUAGGGAAUCUUCCGCAAUGGGCGAAAGCUUGACGGAGCAACGCCGCGUGAGUGAUGAAGGUCUUCGGAUCGUAAAACUCUGUUAUUAGGGAAGAACAAAUGUGUAAGUAACUAUGCACGUCUUGACGGUACCUAAUCAGAAAGCCACGGCUAACUACGUG
rnacentral:rRNA from 1 species